AACAAAAGAUAGUUAGAAAAAAGAAUUUCUCUUCUGUAUGUAUUAAUUCUCAAUUGCUUUUGAUAGUGUUAAUAGCAUAAUAUUUCAUUUUAAUGUAAUAGUUCAUUUACAAUAGUUCAUUUGCAUGUUUGAUAAUCCAGUUUUCAUACUUUUUUUCUUCCUUUUUUAGGUUUUAUCUUCCAAAAAGAAUCAUAUUCAAAUUAUAGAAGAAAGGUAUACCGCAUUUUUUUGUUAUAUUUGAUUAUUUUAUUUACUAAUUUAC
rnacentral:lncRNA from 1 species